UUUUGUUUCCUGUCUUUUAAAAUAGCAUCCUAUUUUUGUUUCAUGGGUGUAAUAUCCUCUCUUAUUCUUGAGAAUAAGUCUUGCUUUCUUCCAAUUUGCUUCUUUCUGUUUAUUUUUAUUGUUAGUUUGCUUGUGUGCUUUGAUUUGUUUUCAUUAUUUGUUCUCUGUCUUCCAUGUUAGCAGUUUUCCUCAGAUAUCUGGUAUUCUGUGGCAAAUGUUACUAGUGUCCUGCCCAUACUCUCAGCUCCUGUGAAUGUUCAUUGUUAAUGGAUCAGAGCUGCCCUCUUUCUCUAGACAAUUGACCUCAGCCAGGAGCUGUCUUGCCAGGAGGUUAAGGUCUCCUCUCUGGCAGCCCACAGUCAACAAUUGAUUAGUAUGUGGAUACAAACCAGCCCUCUUGCUUCAAGUUGAGAUCAACUCUAUGAUGCAGUUCACACUCCCAGGUUCCCUAUGGGAUCAGACUGAGGCUAGACUUCAGCUGAGACCACAUCCUUACUCAGCUCCUUCCCCUGCUGCUUCUGCAGGAGGUGAGAUGUGGGGAGUGGGGGAGGCUUUUCCUGAGAGCCCACUCUCAAUAAAUCACAUGCACUGGAAUUCCCAUCUCAGCUUCUGUUUCUAGGGAACCUAAGACGUGACCUUUGGCUGUCUGCUCUUAGAGUAAAGGCCUGAAAAGCUUCUUGAAAGCCCUGAGUGCAAGAGUUGGGCUUGUCAACUCAGAGACUCACUGUUGGGAGACGGAGGUGAUCAUUUGUUGGAAACUCCAAUGCCAGCAUUCUGAGUUCUUUCCUUUUUGGCUGGUCAGAAAUCCCAGAAAAGGGGGGUGGAGCGUGGCUGCCAGUGAUUUGGGAAGUGAGCAGAAAAGAAAGCCGAUGAUCUCAGCCUGCAGUGAGUAAAUAUUCACUUAAUGCUCCUGUUGUUCACAUGAAACCUUUGUUCUCAGCCGUGCCUGGUGCCCACACUUCAGAGACCCUCUGUUUAACCCUCUCCAGAGACUGAAUCUUCAGUCCUCUGCCUGCUUGGAGAGGGCCCUGCAGCGUGGAGGGUAGGAGAGGGGAACUAGGACUUUAACUUUUUCCCAGUCACCUUUCACCCAGUUCUCCUGAUUUUGGCUUGCUCCAUUCCAGAGCUAUCUGACUGCCAAUUCCUUUUUUUUUUUUUUAGGAUUUUGCCAUGAAAAUAGGGCUGUUCUUAGCUUUCCCUGGGUUUCAGCUUUCUUGGGGCUGCUAAGUCAAUUACCACUCAUCCAUCUGUCUUCUAGCUUCCAAAAUUCUUUUUGCUAAUGUCUCUUCUUCUGUCGUUUCUGCCCUCAUGAGUUUGUGUCUUUUUAGAAAACAACUCCUUUAUAGUUGUUUUCAUGGGUUUCAGGAGGGAGAAAGAGGAAAUGUGGGAGCAAAAGGAAACCAUCUUAACCUAGGGGAAAAAAAACCUCUGGUGAUAUUAAGACAUUUCCUCUCAGCAUGCCCCUCCUGUGAGUCCCUGUGGAUGACAGACAGGCAAGCGAGAACUCCAGGGAAGGGAGCCAGAGGCCUGUGAUGGAAGCUGUGUCUCCCCUACAGAGUUCAAGCUUCUUCCCCGAGUCACGGCCUUCACCUGCCUCCGAGGGUAUAAAGGGCUGAGUCCUGAUUACGAUCAAGUGGGUUAGAACAGCGGAAAGCCAAGAUAAAUCAGGGAAGCCUGUCUAGCGCAGGUGCCGCAAGUAGCAGGAGAAGCAAAAGAUACUGAGUCUCAUCUUUCUAAUGAGAGAGCUCACCCUUCUAGCUCUGCUUGUAUGACUCUCUGACACCAGAAGUCAUUCCAGAAAGCCUGCCUACUUCCUUGCCCUCGCCCUCUUUCCUGUCCCUUGCUUUGGGAUGAGGUGAAGGUGGUUGAGAGCUGUUUAGGUAGAUUGGAUAGGUUGAAAUGGGGGAAGAAGUAAACCACCAUAGUUCCUUUUUCCUAGAACGGGUUGUGGGCAAAGAUAUCAGCCCGCUUCACUUCCUCUUUCAAGCUCAGACCUAAGAACCCAGCAAAGAGAAAAGGCCGCAACACAGUUGGGUGGGAGAACUCAGGAGGGGCAGGAAUUGUGGUGUUGGGGUAUUCUAAUGGGUAGUAGUGGUAAAGACAGGAGGACCUGAGCUACGCAGCUGGCUUUGCUGCACAGACAUAACUUGAAAGUUCCCUGAUGGUCACCUGUAAGCAACAGGGGGGUGGAAGUCAGUGGAUAAAUACUCCAGCCUCCUCAUCAUUUGGGAGGACAGUGUUGAGGCUGUUCCACAAAGUUUCUCAGUGGGUUCCCAGCAGCAUGGAGCCCCAGUUGCCCAUGGCAGUUACGAGUCCUUCAACACAUAAGAUGGAGGAGUCUUAAAGGACUUCUGACCAUAUGGGUAGGUGCAGAGUUUUCUGAGAAAUGGAUUGGAGAUGAGGAAAAUGCUUUUUCUUUUUUUUUUAAGGAAGAUUAGCCCUGAGCUAACUGCUGCCAAUCCUCCUCUUUUCGCUAAGGAAGACUGGCCCUGAUCUAACAUCCAUGCCCAUUUUCCUCUACUUUAUAUGUGGGACGCCUACCACAGCAUGGCUUGCCAAGCGUCGCCAUGUCCGCACCUGGGAUCCGGACCGGCAAACCUUGGGCCAGUGAAGCGGAACGUGCGCACUUCACCGUUGCGCCACUGGGCCGGCCCCAGAAAAUACUUUAAAGAAACUAGAAUGUAAGAAGAUGAGAAGGACUGGGUGUAGGGGAGAUAGACAGAAAGAGGGACAUCCUCAGAACCCUUAAACAGUGAAGUCUUUUCCCACCCUUCCCCCCAUCAUAUGGAAUAAGGGAACAUGUUAGCUGAGAAAGUCACUACUUCAAGUUCCAGAUGCCUGCUGUUUUG
ensembl:lncRNA